rnacentral:ribozyme from 1 species
GCUGCUCGAAUAAUCACACACCUCUCCGAGGUGAGUAGCAGGCGACGAUCUUAUGGUCGGCGAAG